GGGAGAUGAACUUCAAGGCCCUGAAAGCUCGUGGGAAGGAGUCAGAUCGUUUGCCAAGUCAGGAGAGUGUCGACUGUAUCCUGGUCAACUGUGAACCAGUAAAAGCUGUUAUCGAUGACCUCAUCCAAAGGCUAUUUGAAACCUUGCUCAUGUCACUCAGAAAGUCUGUCCAAGGCCACACACAAAACAUAGACAGUUUUGUGUCAGAGUCAAUAAAGGCCUUGUGCACCCGCCCAGAGACCAUGGAAGAGAUUAGUUUGGCCAAUGGCAAAUAUAAGCAAAUAUUAACCCGCAAACCUGAAAUCCUACCUGAGUUCCAGUGUGCUGAGGA